rnacentral:siRNA from 1 species
UAGAAUAUAUAAAUGGUGAAACAG